AUACGGAGGGUGCAAGCGUUAAUCGGAAUUACUGGGCGUAAAGCGUACGUAGGCGGUUAUUUAAGUCAGAUGUGAAAGCCCCGGGCUUAACUUGGGAACUGCAUUUGAAACUGGGUAACUAGAGUUUAGUAGAGGGGAGUGGAAUUUCAGGUGUAGCGGUGAAAUGCGUAGAGAUCUGAAGGAACACCAGUGGCGAAGGCGACUCCCUGGACUAAAGCUGACGCUGAGGUACGAAAGAGUGGGUAGCAAACAGGAUUAGAUACCCCAGUAGUCC
rnacentral:rRNA from 1 species